UACGGGGGGGGCAAGCGUUGUCCGGAAUCAUUGGGCGUAAAGAGCGUGUAGGCGGCCCGGUAAGUCCGCUGUGAAAGUCCAGGGCUCAACCCUGGGAUGCCGGUGGAUACUGUCGGGCUCGAGUCCGGAAGAGGAGUGUGGAAUUCCUGGUGUAGCGGUGAAAUGCGCAGAUAUCAGGAGGAACACCAAUGGCGAAGGCAGCACUCUGGGACGUGACUGACGCUGAGACGCGAAAGCGUGGGGAGCAGACAGG
rnacentral:rRNA from 1 species